UAUGGAGUCCUGACAAAUGGAGCUCAACGAUGCAGUGUAAGAUGAACCAAUACAUGUGUGUUGUUAGCAAAGAAUUAUCCCUUUCACGUGCUUGCUUUAACAGAACAUCCUUCCUCCUGUGACUGCUUCAGUGAAACGUUCCUUCAUGAGUCUGCUUUAGUCUUUCACCUAUGUCUGCUUCAGGAAAACACUCCUUCAUGAGUUUGUCCCAGCAAAACACCUUCCAACACAACUGACUCUCCAAAGAACCGUUGCCACUUCAGACUUGGCUGCAGGUGCCCUCUGAGGUAUCUUAUUGGCCCUUUUAUAAUAUUUGGAGAGAGUAGUGUGUACCACAGAAAAAUAUUUUGUGUUUUUUAAAUAGAUUUUAUCUGACUGAUCUUUUCUGUUUACAGUUUUUUUUUUUCUAUUUUAAAGAGCACUCUAUCUUGAUCUUUUGAUUCAAUCUAUUAUGAGUGUUUUCUUGUUUUUUGAGUGUUCCUUUGUUUGAUUGUUUUGGAAACAGGGUCUUACUACAUUGCCCUGUAGGCAGUUAACUGUGUAGACUGGAUAGGCCUUGAGGUCAGAUUCACCUGCCUUUGUGUCCUAAGGGAUGCAAUCUAAGGUGUGUGUCAGCACUCCUGUCUUUAAGUGUUCCUUUAAACAUGAUUUUUCCACACCCUCUAGUAUUUAUUCACAAUUUAAGACUGUUUACCCAGUGAUGGUAGUUUUUUCUUUCUCUUUUCUAUUUUGAGUAUUUUUCUUUUUUUUCUUUUCUUCGAGACAGGGUUUCUCUGUGUAGCCCUGGCUGUCCUGGAACUCACUCUGUAGACCAGGCUGGCCUCGAACUCAGAAAUCGGCCUGUCUCUGCCUCCCAAGUGCUGGGAUUAAAGGCGUGCGCCACCACCACCCAUCUAUUUUGAGUAUUUUUAUGAUUGAUCCUUUUCUUUUGUAAAUCGAUUGUUACUCUGAUUGCCUUAGAUAUGGACCUGGUGUAUUGACCAGCUCUUCUCAUAGCAGUUCUAUAUUACAAACCAGUUUUACUGAGUAGCUUAUAAUAAUAUACUAAUUUUCAUACUAGAUCUGCAGGUCACUUAGAGUUUUCUUGAUCCAGGAUGGCUUUGGCCAGAUAGAUCUGCUUUCAUUUUUGGGUUGGCUGGGCCUGCCUCCAUGAGUGUAGGUAUGCUUAUGAUUGCCUUAUUCUGAAGCUUAGCAUGAAGAGACUAAAGCUUCCUUCAUGGUUAUCACCAGAGCACAGGCCAAACUACUAAAUUCAUACUGAGACUCUAUUGCAUUAGACUGUGACCAUCCUGUGAAUCAAAUCAAGCCAUGUGACCAGGCCUUGCAAAGUUAUAUGAUAAAAGGUAUGGAUGAAAAUUUUAAAGCAACUGAAAAUGAUCUACAACUAUAUUUGGUCAAAGGCUAUAAGAAAACAUCUAUCAAAUUAAAAAUAAGUAACAAGCUAGUCAUGUGCUUCAUGUCUAUAUUAUCAAGUUCCAGGCAGGCCUAGACUACAUAGUGAGUUCUAGGCUAGCCUGGGCUGAACAGGUGGGUGAGAGAUAAAGCAGCUCAUGUCUUCUUUCCUAUGCAGAGUCUACUCGCACACAGAAAAGGACUGGGCGAGCAGGAGAGUGACCAACAGUAGGAGGAGAGGAAGGAUGUGAGCGAGUCAGGCAGGUUGGAUAUGACUAAGGUGUAUCCUUAGUGUAUAUCUUGUGUGAGAAUGAUAGACUUGAAAUUCAUCCAGCGCUAACUAGAAGUAUUAAUAAACAAGACAUAGUAAUUAAAACAAAAAACAAAACCAAAAACUUCUUUUUCUAGUAUUUCCAAAUAACCUCCAGAACUCUUUCCUACAGAAGGCGUUUUGGAAAAACAUAGUGCUGUAUGUACCAUGCAGAUUGUUGGCAUGCGUCUGUGCUUACCUGAGGUCGGAUGUUUCAUGGAAUGUGCCCUUUGCCAUCCAGGGAAUCCCAGAGAUUUGCCCUUUACUCUUAGUUUUCCUUUCCUUUCACCCUUCUUUUUUUCCUUACUCUUUUUGGAAAGAUAAAAUCCUUUAUUGUCUCUGACUCUCUGUUUGUUUCUCCGAGUCUGUUAAAGUUACUCUGUCACUUUAUACAGACUGUUUUAACACAGUAGAGUAGGUACUUUUCUGGGUUUAACAAAUAGUUGGCAUGUAUGGAACUAUUUCCAAUUGAUCAUUUUAGUAAAAUUGAUUCUGAAGUAUUUGGAAAGAUUUCUGUUUGCUGUAACUGUUUCCUUUGCAUUGAACAAGUCAGUUGUGAUGCACCUCUUUAAUCCCAGCACUUGGCAGGUGAAUAUCUGAGUUCAAGGCCCGCAUGGUCAGCAUAAUGACUUCCAGGACAGCCAGGCCUUUUUUUUUCUCACUAUAGUGAGACCCCAUC
rnacentral:lncRNA from 1 species